GUUCCCCCGAAGCAACUGGUUCUGGUUCCUGUUAUCUACUGGGCUAGAUGGACCUGGCAAGUCCUUUGUACCUAACUAGGUUUUUCGGUUCCCAGUUCCAUUCCCUAUCCACUAGGCCGUGUGGUCUCUCGAGCCAUAACACAGCGCUUGGAUCUAAUCACGGUUACUUCCUCCCCACCCUUCCACCUCGCCGAAUGGUUCGAUUCAUUUUGAACAGAAAACAAGUUAUGUGGGGUUAAAAAAUAACCAAACUCCCCGCUCCAAGGUAGCAAGGGCUGUGUAACUUGCACCGCAGCUGCCUGCCGGGUGGCUUCCUGGAAGAUAAGCUCAAAGUUUUAUUAAGCACCCCUGCGUGUUUGCUCACAUGCUGAUAAUUAUCUUGUAUUCAGCUUUGCAACAUGUUCAUGGGGGCGGCGGGGCAGCUAGGUCAAGAUGCUACAACUUGUGCUGCCAAUUCCACCUGUGGCAAAUGCUCUGGAGUGAGGGCGGGCGCAGUCAACGCCCGUCUUGCACGGGUGUCAUUGGUGAGAUGGGCCAGAACCUGACUCUAAGGGUUUGGCUACAUGUGAAAAUGAAUCCAGGGUGUGAGUUUAAAGCAGAUUAACUCCAUGGGUGGAUGCGCUUAUUCUGGAAUGAGAGUGCCUCGUUCAGAAUCACCUUAAUUCACUGGUGCAGUAGUUUAAUCCACUGGACUAAGCUAAUUCAGAAUAAGAGUGUCCACACAUGGAGUUAUCAGAAAUAGUUUACUCUGUAAUAGCUCUUUGUGUGGACAAGCCCUAAAAGCAGGGGGAAGGAUCUAGGCUUUUAGUUAUUCCCCUUAUUCGUGUAUCCAGGCGAGGCCGUUUGGUGAAGUGGAUUCGGGUGUAACAGCCAGGAGAUCUAGGGAGAAAUCCUGGUCCCAUUUACUUCAGUGGUGAUCCGGCCACUUAUUUGCAGUGUGACCAGUGGUAAGUAUCUGUGCCUCAGGUUCCUCAUCUGUAAAAUGGGGCUAAUAAGAGAGACCCACCUCCGGGGAGCACUCUGAGAUCUAUGGGAUUGUACAUGUGCUCCAUACAAACUAGGACUUUGCUGCUUCUCUCUUUCCAACAGCAAGGGGGUGACACUCAGGGCCUGAUUCUGCUCUCUUACACAGGUGAAAAUCAGGCCUGACUCCAGCCUAAGAGGAAAAUGAUGCCCCAGAGCUCUGCAGGGAGAGAGCAAAGGACCCAGGACUCCAGAAGUUACGAGCUUCUGUUUUUACCCCCGGGAGCAGGAGGAUAGGCUGGUUGCUGUGCUGUGCCCAGGGGCCUACGUUUAUCGAGAAGGCAGGGAUCCAUGGUACAUGGCAAGCCCACGAGAUCCACCUGAAGCACGGAAGAGAGCAGGCGGAGGAGCAAAGAGCAUGAGAGGGAAACUGAGGCAGGGAGAGGCGAAUGAAGUACCUUGCCCAACGUCGCACAGCAAGUGACAGGCAGAGACAGGAAGAGAACCCAGGACUCCUGACUUGCAGUCCAGCACCCUAUCUCCCCGUCCAUCUGCCUUCUAUGAAGAGUUUGGCAGAUACUUGUAAACUGUCCACCUCCUUGGUAUCUAGAUACCGUACCAGACGUGGUUCUGAUCUCGGAUCAAUGUCAGACAACCUCCCUCCAGCCAGAGUCUCAGAAAUCUGUUUAAAUAAGACAUCAGAGCCUUUAUACUGAGGUCAGGAGCUCCUGGAUUGCCAAUUUAGGCCAAGGACAGAUGUUGUUCCUCAAAUGAGACUAUUUAAAGCCUUGGAGACCAACCUGAGUCUGCUGGUCCCACUAGCACUUCACCCGGUGAGAGGCCUUUGUAGAUUUCAUGAGGGGAAUUCAGUGCAAGUUUUUGACAUAGGGAUUCAUUAGGAAAUGUGUCACAUUUCCUCUCCUCCUUCCGCAGCCGCCACCCGCGUUGGCCGUCUCGUUAAAAUACAGUGCACGUGGGAAGGUGAGGGGGACGUCCGGUAAGUUUCACUUCCAGAGAGGGAGGAUGAAAGAGAGCUACGGGAUUUGAAUAAAAGCCUCUCGCCGGCUCUGAUGUGGAUCUGUGGGAUAGUGGUUCUAUUGCGCCACAAGGCUGAAUACCAAGGGAACCUGGCCCUUUGCUCAUUGAUGGUUGUGUAAUACCGGAGGAAAUCUGCUGAAGUCAGUGUCAGUGCGAGUUUAGGGUCACGCCUGCUCUGUGCACUGUUGUUCCUGUAAAGGUGAUAAGCCAGAUCCUGGUAGUAUAACGUAGCUGUGAAGCUAUGGGAUCUGGCCUCCUGAGGAUUCCCCCUCGCCAUGAGAGUGCUUCUGGGGUGCAGAGCCCCCAUACAGUAUUCUCCCUUGCAGCUCCCCCCCCCCAGCAUAGGGGGAGUUCCCAGGAGACGGGACAUGGCAGGGGCAAUCCCUACGCUACCAGAACAGCCCCUUGAGGUUAUGUAUGUAAAUUGGCGCAGGUCUGAACUUGUUUUAAUAUAUGCUGGCAAUUAGACAGGCCCCAGAUCAGGGAGUUCAAAGCUGGCUUAAAGCCGCCUUUACCCACCUCCUUUGGGUUGUGUACAACUCAACUUGGCCAAAAGACGGGGGGUGAGAGAGAGACUGGGGCUCGGAUUAGCUUUGAGGAUCUAGGCCUGUCUGUUUGCCAUCCCAGCCCUGGGCUCCCCACGCACCGCUCUGCCAAUGCCCCUCCGUCCUGACCCGCAGCCCCAUCCUGCUAUUCCAGUCCUGGGAAUUCACUCAGCUAACAUGACUCAUGUCAAACCCCCACGCCUCGAUAAACAAAGCGGAGGGUGGAGUGCCGGGUUUGUUCCUCACAUGAGUGGAGGUGACAGCAGUGUUCUUUAGAAACCUUCCCUGCAUACAGAAAGCUGCUCUGGUUUGCCUGGUUUACUUGGGUGAAGGCUGUGAUGCCAAUGCUGAAUCAAGGGAACGAGCUUAAUAAUAAUAGUAAUUAAUCCUAUCUCUUCUCACCUGUAGAGCUCAAAGCACUUUACAAAGG